rnacentral:rRNA from 1 species
GGAGCUUGCUCCUUGAUUCAGCGGCGGACGGGUGAGUAAUGCCUAGGAAUCUGCCUGGUAGUGGGGGACAACGUUUCGAAAGGAACGCUAAUACCGCAUACGUCCUACGGGAGAAAGCAGGGGACCUUCGGGCCUUGCGCUAUCAGAUGAGCCUAGGUCGGAUUAGCUAGUUGGUGGGGUAAUGGCUCACCAAGGCGACGAUCCGUAACUGGUCUGAGAGGAUGAUCAGUCACACUGGAACUGAGACACGGUCCAGACUCCUACGGGAGGCAGCAGUGGGGAAUAUUGGACAAUGGGCGAAAGCCUGAUCCAGCCAUGCCGCGUGUGUGAAGAAGGUCUUCGGAUUGUAAAGCACUUUAAGUUGGGAGGAAGGGCAGUAAGUUAAUACCUUGCUGUUUUGACGUUACCGACAGAAUAAGCACCGGCUAACUCUGUGCCAGCAGCCGCGGUAAUACAGAGGGUGCAAGCGUUAAUCGGAAUUACUGGGCGUAAAGCGCGCGUAGGU